GACGAACGCUGGCGGCGUGCUUAACACAUGCAAGUCGAACGAAGUGGCGAACGGGUGAGUAACGCGUAAUCAACCUGCCCUUCAGAGGGGGACAACAGUUGGAAACGACUGCUAAUACCGCAUACUGAAGGAGGGGAUUGCGUCUGAUUAGCUAGUCGGAGGGGUAAGGGCCCACAAAGGCGAUGAUCAUUAGCCUGUCGGAAAGAGUGAGCGGCCAAAUUGAGACUUAGACACGGCCCAGACUCCUACGGGAGGCAGCAGAGGGGAAUCUUCCGAAAUGGACGAAAGUCUGACGGAGCAACGCCGCGUGAGUGAUGACGGCCUUCGGGUUGUAAGGCUAUGUUAAUCGGGACGCGGUACCGGAAUAGAAAGCCACGGCUAACUACGUGCCAGCAGCCGCGGUAAUAC
rnacentral:rRNA from 1 species